rnacentral:lncRNA from 1 species
AAAACCUUAUUAGUAAUUUUCUACUUUUCAUUCAUAGAAAUAGCAAGUUUUAAUGUGACAGAGUUAAAACAUAGUUUCAGUUUGCUUUUCUUUGGGGAUUGCAGUGCUGCUUGCACAACAAUUCAAUUGUUGUAUCUUGGGACAUAUUUGCCAAAUAAAUUUUAGAAGCACUAGUUAGCAGACAAUUUCGUCUUAAGAAUAUAGUACCAAGUUCUAGACUCAAUCAUUUAUAAAGUUUUCAUACUUUGAAUUAUAAUUUUUU